rnacentral:rRNA from 1 species
GAUGAACGCUGACAGAAUGCUUAACACAUGCAAGUCUUUGGCGAAGCUGUGCUUGCACAGCCUAGCCAAGGCGGACGGGUGAGUAACGCGUAAGGAACUUGCCCUGCAGUCAGGGAUAACAGACGGAAACGACUGAUAAGACCUGGUAAAGUCAGGCGGACUCAUGUCCAGCCUGAUGAAAAGAGAUGCUGCAGGAGAGCCUUGCGUCCUAUUAGCUUGUUGGUGGGGUAACGGCCCACCAAGGCGAUGAUAGGUAGCCGGCCUGAGAGGGUGGACGGCCACAAGGGGACUGAGAUACGGCCCUGACUCCUACGGGAGGCAGCAGGGGGGAAUAUUGGACAAUGGGGGCAACCCUGAUCCAGCAAUUCUGUGUGCACGAUGAAGGUUUUCGGAUUGUAAAGUGCUUUCAGCAGGGAAGAAAAAAAUGACGGUACCUGCAGAAGAAGCGACGGCUAAAUACGUG